AUUGAACGCUGGCGGCAGGCCUAACACAUGCAAGUCGAACGAGUGGCGGACGGGUGAGUAAUGCCUGGGAAUCUAGCUUAUGGAGGGGGAUAACUACUGGAAACGGUAGCUAAUACCGCAUACCAUCGGAUGUGCCCAGAUGGGAUUAGGUAGUUGGUGGGGUAACGGCUCACCAAGCCGACGAUCCCUAGCUGGUCUGAGAGGAUGACCAGCCACACUGGAACUGAGACACGGCCCAGACUCCUACGGGAGGCAGCAGUGGGGAAUAUUGCGCAAUGGGGGCAAGCCUGACGCAGCCAUGCCGCGUGAAUGAAGAAGGCCUUCGGGUUGUAAAGUUCUUUCGGUGGCGAGGCGUUACCUACAGAAGAAGCACCGGCUAACUCCGUGCCAGCCGCCGCGGUAAUAC
rnacentral:rRNA from 1 species